rnacentral:rRNA from 1 species
UGGGGGAAUUUUGGACAAUGGGGGAAACCCUGAUCCAGCCAUCCCGCGUGUGCGAUGAAGGCCUUCGGGUUGUAAAGCACUUUUGGCAGGAAAGAAACGUCGCGGGUUAAUACCCCGCGAAACUGACGGUACCUGCAGAAUAAGCACCGGCUAACUACGUGCCAGCAGCCGCGGUAAUACGUAGGGUGCAAGCGUUAAUCGGAAUUACUGGGCGUAAAGCGUGCGCAGGCGGUUCGGAAAGAAAGAUGUGAAAUCCCAGAGCUUAACUUUGGAACUGCAUUUUUAACUACCGGGCUAGAGUGUGUCAGAGGGAGGUGGAAUUCCGCGUGUAGCAGUGAAAUGCGUAGAUAUGCGGAGGAACACCGAUGGCGAAGGCAGCCUCCUGGGAUAACACUGACGCUCAUGCACGAAAGCGUGGGGAGCAAACAGGAUUAGAUACCCUGGUAGUCCACGCCCUAAAACGAUGUCAACUAGCUGUUGGGGCCUUCGGGCCUUGGUAGCGCAGCUAACGCGUGAAGUUGACCGCCUGGGGAGUACGGUCGCAAGAUUAAAACUUAAAGGAAUUGACGGGGGUGCAUAGCU